UUAGCAGAAGGUAGAACAUCUCUUGCUAUGCAACUGAUAGCGAAGUGCCUUUACGGCAAUCAUGUCAGUGGCUUGUUUGCCUCCAUUUUGUAACGCCCAGAAGGGAGAAAUAAUUUGAGCCAUUGGAUUAUGAUUUUUUUGUUUUUCUUUAAUUUGCGUCUUUAAAUUACAAUUUAAAUUAUACUUAGUGAAGGCCAACACAAAGAGAUAGAUAUCUUUGGAACGAUAAAAAUACUUUUCUGAGUUUUGUAGUAUUCAGGGGAGCGGAAAGACAAAAGCACACACGUGGACUUCAAGAACCUAAACUGCUGUGUCACUUCCAUGCUGGGAAGUUCAUCUCUCCAUUUGCUCUGAAGCCAACAGAAGAGAGGCACCAGGAAACCUCAGAGCCCCAAAUUGCUCCAGCUGCAGGGAGCGCAAUCGCCCCAUCUCUCCAUUGAGUACAAGGGGUCCCAGGAGGGGAUCCUAACUUUGCUUCUUGUAACACGUGAAACGAGGCAGUUUGACCCCACAAAGUCAAAUACGUGUCAUCUAACUUGCCACAGUGGGUCUCCCAUCCUUAAGCUGACUGACUUUAAAGAGGCAUUUGCUCUAGAAGUCUCACUGUGGCCGAGCAUCAGCAGUCACUGAAGCACAGUCCUUGACACCUGUGGGUCCUGUACUAAGUAAGUGUCUCCUGAAAACAUCUUCCUGAUUUGAGCCAUUGUAAGAACUGUUUUCAUUUCAAUUUUUUUUAUUAUUUUUUUAACCUGGAAAAAAAUCAAUACAUUAACAGUUACUGUGAGGGAAAAUUAAUUUAUUAAUAUUUACAAACCUUUUAAAUUGGCUUAUUUACUAGAUACUGCUCUGGGAAAACACAUUUAGUGAUGUCAAUUUAUGGAGGCCACAGUUUUUGUAUUUCCAUCUGAAUUAUUCACAUCGGUCAAUGCAGUCAUCAUCUUUAUAGCUGUGGUUUGACAUUGAUCAGAUGGAUUUCCAGGGUUCUUUUUUCUUGUUGACCCUAAGGGGAGCUUACAGUGACUUACUGCAGUACAGAAGUCUGUAUUUUAGCUAUCAAAAGCUAUUUGCAAAGAACCACAUCUUCCAUAGCACUUUUCAUGACAUUUUGCUGUUCUGUCACAUGGGAUCUCUUGCUUGGUGUCUGUAUUAGUGACAACCUAAUGGAAGUUUUUAGAAGUUUCUGAAGUAUUUUUUUGUUUUCUUGGUUUAUGAAAGCAGAUACAAAUGGUGAGUUUGGUGGUAAUACAAGUAGGACAUUAAUUCAUUUUUCUCUUCACCUUUUAGGCACCAACACUUCCGUUAGUGGAAGCUGAGGGACUCCAGAAUGGUGACCAAUAAAUACUCUAUAACACUGCAUAUUAUUUUCUCCCAAGUAGAACUCUACUGCAGUCACAUUGUUAAGCCCAUGGACAAACCAGCAAUCUCCGCAAUUAGAGGUUAAACAGGAGCAGGUUUACAGAGCUGCCAAAACAGAAGAACAUGUGGAAUUAAUACAGUGCCAGUAAAGGAAAACGCUGAAUGAA